ensembl:snRNA U2 U2 spliceosomal RNA
AUCGCCCGUCAUUUCAUUUGGCUUAGAUCAAGUGUAGUAUCUGUUCUUAUCAGUUUAAUAUCUGAUAACUCAUUAGUGUCAGGUAUACCAUUAUCCUUUAAUGUUGAUUUUUGGAAAUUUUGUUAAGAUGGAAAAGUGCUUGAACUUUCCACCUACCUUGUGGUUGAGUAUUGCAGUACCUCCAGGACUUUAUCUGACCCCAA